AACGAACGCUGGCGGCAUGCCUAACACAUGCAAGUCGAACGAGACCUUCGGGUCUAGUGGCGCACGGGUGCGUAACGCGUGGGAACCUGCCCUUAGGUUCGGAAUAACUCCCCGAAAGGGGUGCUAAUACCGGAUAAUGUCUUCGGACCAAAGAUUUAUCGCCUUUGGAUGGGCCCGCGUUGGAUUAGCUAGUUGGUAGGGUAAAAGCCUACCAAGGCGACGAUCCAUAGCUGGUCUGAGAGGAUGAUCAGCCACACUGGGACUGAGACACGGCCCAGACUCCUACGGGAGGCAGCAGUGGGGAAUAUUGGACAAUGGGCGAAAGCCUGAUCCAGCAAUGCUGCGUGAGUGAUGAAGGCCUUAGGGUUGUAAAGCUCUUUUAACCGGGAUGAUAAUGACAGUACCGGGAGAAUAAGCUCCGGCUAACUCCGUG
rnacentral:rRNA from 1 species